UACGGAGGGAGCUAGCGUUGUUCGGAAUUACUGGGCGUAAAGCGCGCGUAGGCGGCCUUGCAAGUUAGAGGUGAAAGCCCGGAGCUCAACUCCGGAACUGCCUUUAAAACUGCAUAGCUUGAAUCCGGGAGAGGUGAGUGGAAUUCCGAGUGUAGAGGUGAAAUUCGUAGAUAUUGGGAGGGAACACCAGUGGCGAAGGCGGCUCACUGGACCGGUACUGACGCUGAGGCGCGAAAGCGUGGGGAGCAACGGG
rnacentral:rRNA from 1 species